UACGAAGGGUGCAAACGUUGCUCGGAAUUAUUGGGCGUAAAGCGCACGUAGGCGGCUUUGCAAGUCGGAUGUGAAAUCCCUCGGCUUAACCAAGGAAGUGCAUCCGAAACUGCAGAGCUUGAGUACUUAAGAGGAUCGCGGAAUUCCCGGUGUAGAGGUGAAAUUCGUAGAUAUCGGGAGGGACACCAGUGGCGAAGGCGGCGAUCUGGGAAGAUACUGACGCUGAGGUGCGAAAGCGUGGGGAGCAAACAGG
rnacentral:rRNA from 1 species